rnacentral:misc_RNA from 1 species
CUCUCUGGGGCCACCCACGUCGGCUCCUUGGUUCGUCGUCGGGGCUACCUUAUUUCAGGGUGCAACCAAGACGGCUGUGUUGCCUCUCUGUGCUACGGUGCGUGAGCCACUAGCCCGGUAGACGCGAUACUCCAGGGACGACCGAUCCAGUCACAGUGCCCUGAUUCCUUUCGAUGUUAUCCCGAAUGACAGCCACGAAAUUUGUCGGGUAUCGUUGGACAAGAUAGUAGACCUGAAAAACAGGAUCUUUGCUUGGCCAAACGAUGCGUUUGGAAGAUACAGGUUUCUACGUACACUAUCAGGAACAAUGUCAGUUACGACACACUGCGCUUACGCAGCAUUUUGUACACCUGUAUAUAUUUUGUAUAUACCAGUGUAUAUAUACAGUAGGCUAACAGUUUUGAAAGCAAUAAGUGUGUACAGUAAUUUGCUCGGCGAUGUUCAAACGCGUCAGUGUUGUACAUGAUGAGGAUAAAGGUUCAUCACGUUGUGCUAGUCAUCGUAUGUGUACAUAUUUUUUCUUUUGCACUAA